rnacentral:lncRNA from 1 species
UGGACAUGAUUUCCUAUUGUGCUUGACCACUUUUAACCUCUAUGAGCCCGACACUGUCUCUAUAGGUCCGAUCAUGUGAACCUAGGGCUCUGAUACUAAUCUGUAACGACCCCAAAAUGGACCGUCACCGGCGCUAGGAUUCAGGUCGGCUUAAGGCCGCCAGAACCCGUAGCAAGCCUGCUAUACUCUCUGUGUACCUGUAAAACUCAUACAUGAUCAUACAUUUUCUGUGAAAAUAUAAACUCUUUGCUGAACCAAGGCUUAACCUGUGCAUGC